rnacentral:lncRNA from 1 species
ACACUGUAGUUCAUGUUUAGCUAGCUGAAACAAUGUGUAUGGUUUUGGAUUUGGAAUACUGCGGAGAACAGGAUUGCCUUUUUAAAAUGCCUUUGGCUUUGUCCAUUUUGUCUCUUCGCACAAUGACUUGAGGGUAAGUGUGAUUUACCUGACUGACAGAGGGUCCAGCUUAACUGUAGCUGUUCUAACAAGGCUGUUUUAGCCCAAUGCUUUGCUGUGAUAUUUAUUCCAAAGAGAUAAUAACUUCAUACGAAUCAAUGCCAUGUUUGUCUCUUGUUUUUGCCAAUUAUGACAAUGAGCAUUGACCCAUUAGGGAUAUUAAUAAUACAUAGUGCUUUUUGAAGGACCCAAAGUCAGAGUUCAAUCGCAUUGACGUCUUUUACGCCAGUUAUUAUUUGUCUCAGUCCGUUGUGUCCAAACUCUGUAAGCGUGAUGGUUGACCACCACGGCCAGUCUCUGGUUUUACAGUGAGGUCCCUGUUGCACACCCAUCCAUAAUGGUUGUACAGUGAGGUCCCUGUUGCACACCCAUCCAUAAAUAGGCUGAACAACACAGGGAGCUGACCUGAUAAGCUAACAGUUUAGGCAUUAAGGUAAAAGCACCACUUACUGUUCAGCAAAUCCUCCCUGGUUUCAAAGCACAACAAGGGGAUGUGAGGCUCUUUACUUAAAUGGAAUGUGUUUAAACCUUCAUCGAUGCCAUAGAAACCACCAUGUUUCAAAACCGUUGGGUGUACUACACACAGUAAAGUCCCUUCCUCCAGCACAGGGAAAUCAUAUUAGCUAUGCAUGUUCCCACACAUGGGAAAAGCUUACAAUCCUCAUUUGCUUUGAAAUAGUUAAAUAAGUAUGUAUGAGAACUUAUGAGUUGUGUUUUUGGUACAUUGGAAUAUUCUCCUUAUACUGAGAUACCAUGUGAAUAUUUCAUAACAUUUUGUUGCUCAUAAAGGCAUCUGAUAAGGUUUCCACAGCUAAGAUGAGCUACAGUCAUUUAAAUGGUACUAGUCAUUGCCAGGAAUCAAGGCUAAUAGACAGUGUAUAAAACAUUAGGAACACCUUCCCUCGGAAUAGCCUCAAUUCGUCAGGGCAUGGACUCUACAAGAUUGGCUUGUGGAGUCCAUGUUGGCUCCAAUGCUUUCCACAGUUGUGUCAAGUUGGCUGGAUGUCCUUGGGGUUGUGGACCAUUCUUGAUACACAAGGGAAACUGUUGAGCAUGAAAAAUCCAGCAGCGUUGCAGUUCUUGACACAAAACAGUGUGCCUGGCAGCUAGUUCCAUACCCUGUUCAAAGUCAGUCAAAUAUUUUGUCUCGUCCAUUUACCCUCUGAAUGGCACAUACACAAUCCAUGUCUUAAUUGUGUCAAGGCUUAAAAAUCUUUUAACCUGUCUCCUCCCCUUCAUCUACACUGAUUUAAGUGGAUUUAACAGGUGACAUCAAUAGGGGAUCAUAGACUGACCAGGUGGAUCCAGGGGAAAGCUAUGUCAUGGAAAGAGCAGUUGUUCUUAAUGUUUUGUAUUCUCACUGUAAAGUAAACGUUCCAGUUAGGGUAACUUGGUGUAACACGCACUCUGCCUGUACAUCUCACAGGAACCACUUCAUGUCACAAUUUUUCCCCAACACUUUCCCCUGGUUGUCACUGUUUCUCAACAAAAAAGUUAUAUUGGUCUCAUCACAAAAUG